rnacentral:tRNA from 1 species
GGGAAAGUAGCUCAGUGGUAGAGUGCUUGUCUUGCAUGCAUGAGGCCCUGGGUUCGAUUCCUUAGCACCA